GAUGAACGCUGGCGGCGUGCCUAAUACAUGCAAGUCGAGCGAACGGACGAGGAGCUUGCUUCUCUGAUGUUAGCGGCGGACGGGUGAGUAACACGUGGAUAACCUACCUAUAAGACUGGGAUAACUUCGGGAAACCGGAGCUAAUACCGGAUGAUAUAUUGAACCGCAUGGUUCAAUAGUGAAAGACGGUCUUGCUGUCACUUAUAGAUGGAUCCGCGCUGCAUUAGCUAGUUGGUAAGGUAACGGCUUACCAAGGCAACGAUGCAUAGCCGACCUGAGAGGGUGAUCGGCCACACUGGAACUGAGACACGGUCCAGACUCCUACGGGAGGCAGCAGUAGGGAAUCUUCCGCAACGGGCGAAAGCCUGACGGAGCAACGCCGCGUGAGUGAUGAAGGUCUUCGGAUCGUAAAACUCUGUUAUUAGGGAAGAACAAAUGUGUAAGUAACUGUGCACAUCUUGACGGUACCUAAUCAGAAAGCCACGGCUAACUACGUG
rnacentral:rRNA from 1 species